rnacentral:tRNA from 1 species
GGCCCAAUAGCUCAGCAGGAUAGAGCAUCCGCCUUCUAAGCGGACGGUCGCAGGUUCGAGCCCUGCUUGGGUCG